rnacentral:rRNA from 1 species
UACGUAGGGGGCGAGCGUUGUCCGGAAUCAUUGGGCGUAAAGCGCGUGUAGGCGGCCCUGUAAGUCCGCUGUGAAAGUCCAGGGCUCAACCCUGGGAUGCCGGUGGAUACUGUCGGGCUCGAGUCCGGAAGAGGCGAGUGGAAUUCCUGGUGUAGCGGUGAAAUGCGCAGAUAUCAGGAGGAACACCAAUGGCGAAGGCAGCUCGCUGGGACGUGACUGACGCUGAGACGCGAAAGCGUGGGGAGCAAACAGG